UACGUAGGGACCGAGCGUUGUCCGGAAUCAUUGGGCGUAAAGAGCGUGUAGGCGGCUAUUUAAGUCCUGCGUGAAAUCCUGCGGCUCAACCGCAGACGGUCGUGGGAAACUGGAUGGCUAGAGUGCGGGAGAGGAGAGUGGAAUUCCCGGUGUAGCGGUGAAAUGCGCAGAUAUCGGGAGGAACACCGGUGGCGAAGGCGGCCAUCUGGACGACAACUGACGCUGAGAUGCGAAAGCGUGGGGAGCAAACAGG
rnacentral:rRNA from 1 species